rnacentral:rRNA from 1 species
AAGACCUUGCGCUUUUGGAGCGGCCGAUGCCUGAUUAGCUUGUUAGUAAGGUAAAAGCUUACCAAGGCUUCGAUCAGUAGCUGGUCUGAGAGGACGACCAGCCACACUGGGACUGAGACACGGCCCAGACUCCUACGGGAGGCAGCAGUGGGGAAUUUUGGACAAUGGGGGCAACCCUGAUCCAGCCAUGCCGCGUGAGUGAAGAAGGCCUUCGGGUUGCAAAGCUCUUUCAGCCGGAACGAAACGGUUACGGAUAACACCCGUGACUACUGACGGUACCGGAAGAAGAAGCACCGGCUAACUACGUGCCAGCAGCCGCGGUAAUACGUAGGGUGCGAGCGUUAAUCGGAAUUACUGGGCGUAAAGCGUGCGCAGGUGGUUUUGUAAGUCAGAUGUGAAAGCCCCGGGCUCAACCUGGGAACU